CUCCCCCGUUGCUGACCCCAGGUUCGAUAGCGCCAAUUAGGCGCCACCUCGCCAAGAAUCAGCUUCGGUGAAGCGACGGGCGGUGUGUGCAAGGAG
rnacentral:rRNA from 1 species